AUGAAUCACAGUCAUUUGGAAGAUGUGUGCUCCAGUAUUUCACCUUCAGUGUUCCAGGGAAGGAGCAAAUCAGGUGUGAGAAGCCAGCCCGGCUGGAAGAAACACCCCACAAGUUCAAGCCCCAUCUUGGCAGAGUCCUGCUUGGAGACCUUGAGAAACAAAAUUAGACCUGUCACAGCUAAGGGUGAGAGGACUUUUCUCAGUUCUGCUGAGGUUCUCAUAAAUUGCAAAUGGUUUUGGAGAAAUAGUAAAGUAACAAUGUCCACUCAGAACUAAAGAAAGGGAGUCCCCGUCGUGGCGCAGUGGUUAACGAAUCCGACUAGGAACCAUGCGGUUUCAGGUUCGGUCCCUGCCCUUGCUCAAUGGGUUAACGAUCCGGCGUUGCCGUGAGCUGUGGUGUAGGUUGCAGACGCGGCUCGGAUCCCGCGUUGCUGUGGCUCUGGUGUAGGCCGGUGGUUACAGCUCCGAUUCGACCCCUAGCCUGGGAACCUCCAUAUGCCGCGGGAGCGGCCCAAGAAAUAGCAAAAAGACAAAAAAAAAAAAAAAAAAAAAAAAAAAAAAAAAGAACUAAAGAAAGGAGGGCUUUCAAACUGUUAAGAGCAUCCAAGUGCAUUCCCAGCCAACAAUCUUUUUUGUCUUUUGUCUUUCUAGGGCCUCACCCUCGGCAUAUGGAGGUUUCCAGGCUAGGGGUCUAAUCCGAGCUGUUGCUGCCAGCCUAUGCCAGACCCACAGCAAUGCCAGAUCUGAGCCGCCUCUGUGACCUACACCACAGCUCAUGGCAACGCUAGAUCCUUAACCCACUGAGCAAGGCUAGGGAUCAAACCCGAAACCUCAUGGUUCCUAGUUGGAUUCAUUUCCGCUGCGCCAGGAUGGGAACUCCCCUGCGAACAAUCUUAAGUGUGCUGGAGCCAAAAUAUAGCAACUUCCGUGUGCCUUCUGAUCAGGUUUCCCCUCGGUAAUUAUUUACUACUGGACAAGGUUCUGAGAUGUGGAAGAUUUCACAACUCUGAAAAUGUCGUGGACUUUGAAUUCUGGGUCUCUUCCUUCACAUAUCCUUUAAGAGUUUGAAAUGCAAAAUAAAAGUUCAUGAUCUUUGGAGGGUUGAAGCUUU
rnacentral:lncRNA from 1 species